rnacentral:rRNA from 1 species
UACGUAGGGUCCGAGCGUUGUCCGGAUUUAUUGGGCGUAAAGAGCUCGUAGGCGGUUCCGUAAGUCGAGUGUGAAAAAUCUGGGCUCAACCCAGUGGAGCACUCGAUACUGCGGUGACUAGAGUACGGUAGAGGAGUGUGGAAUUCCUGGUGUAGCGGUGAAAUGCGCAGAUAUCAGGAGGAACGCCAACGGCGAAGGCAGCACUCUGGGCCGGUACUGACGCUGAGGAGCGAAAGCGUGGGGAGCAAACAGG